rnacentral:rRNA from 1 species
AUGACGGCGUCGUCGCCGAUGGUGCUGUCCCUCCUGCUCUUCGCCUCGCUCACGGCGCUGCUCGUCCUGGCCCCUCGCACGGCGUCGCCGCCGCUGCCGCUGGCCGUGGUGGUUGGGGACGAGGAGGCGCCGCCGGCCGCCGCUGGUGCUGCUGCGGGGAUCAGCGGCGGAGGGGCGGGAGUUGAGGAGGGACCGGAGGACCUCGCGCUAUACCGGCGCGUGACGCUCGACGCCGGCGAGGGCGCGGCGGUGGCGUCCAAGGUGGCGUUCAUGUUCCUGACCAACUCCGACCUCACCUUCGCGCCGCUUUGGGAGCGCUUCUUCGCGGGGCACGCUGACCAGUUCAACGUCUACGUGCACGCAGACCCGGCGGUGCGGCUGCGGCUCCCCCCUACGCCUUCCUUCCGGGGCCGCUUCGUCGCGGCCAAGCCGACGCGGCGCGGGGACCCGAGCCUCAUCGCUGCGGCGCGGCGGCUGCUUGUCGCCGCGCUACUCGACGACCCGGCCAACGCCUACUUCGCGCUGCUCUCGCAGCACUGCGUCCCGCUCCACUCCUUCCCGCGGCUCUACGAGGCGCUCUUCCCGCCCAAGGCCGCGCACCACCACCGCCUCCCGAGCUAUAUCGAGGUGCUCACCGGCGAGCCCCAGAUGCCCGCGCGCUACGUGGCGCGCGGUGACGACGCCAUGCUCCCGGAGGUGCCCUUCGACCGGUUCCGCAUCGGCUCCCAGUUCUUCACGCUGGCCCGCCGCCACGCCGUGCUAGUCGUCCGCGAGCGCCGUCUCUGGCGAAAGUUUAGGGAGCCGUGCCUGCCGGAGUCGCAGGGCUCGUGCUACCCGGAGGAGCACUAUUUCCCGACGCUUCUCGACAUGGCCGACCCCGCCGGCUGCACCCGGUACACGCUCACGCGCGUCAACUGGACCGACAGCUUCGAGGGCCACCCGCACACGUAUUCCGCGCCAGAGGUGUCGCCGCGGCUCAUCGCCGAGCUACGCCAGUCCAACAGCUCCACCUAUGAGCACAUGUUCGCGCGCAAGUUCGCGCCCGACUGCCUUGGCCCGCUCAUGGCCAUCGCCGACACCGUCAUCUUCAAAGAUUGA